UAAAUAUGUGGAAUGUUAAUGACGAAAUACGUGGUGAACGAAACCACAAAUGUGACGAUUAGAAAAUGCUGUUACAACAUUCCAUUCUAUUUUGAGAUAGAAAGUUGGAAACUAGACAAAAAUUUCUUAUAAAAAUUUUGAACGUAUAUGUAGUUGUAGCCCUGUGUGUAACUAUUUGAUGAAUCUUCCUAGUUUGUUAAAAACAAAGAUAACCCAUCUCAAUAAGCAAAUUCGAAUGGAAACUAUACUUACACUAUGUCUCAAUGCCUCUGGUGCUGUCCAUUUGAUGGGGAACUUGCCUCCCUCUUGAUUGUAUAUUUCUUCGCGAGCCAAUCCAAAAUCA